UACGUAGGGUGCAAGCGUUGUCCGGAAUUAUUGGGCGUAAAGAGCUCGUAGGCGGUUUGUCGCGUCUGCUGUGAAAACCCGAGGCUCAACCUCGGGCCUGCAGUGGGUACGGGCAGACUAGAGUGCGGUAGGGGAGAUUGGAAUUCCUGGUGUAGCGGUGGAAUGCGCAGAUAUCAGGAGGAACACCAAUGGCGAAGGCAGAUCUCUGGGCCGUAACUGACGCCUGAGGAGCGAAAGCAUGGGGAGCGAACAGG
rnacentral:rRNA from 1 species